GUCAACAGCGGUUCGACUGAUUUUUAACCUCUUGGACAAGUCAACUUGGUUUCAAAGGGUUGGACCCUUGGGACAUGGACAUCCAGGCAGUGGGUGCCUCUGGAGGCAGGUCAUGGGCAUGAAAAGAUAGAUGGACAUUUAAGAUCCAUGGAGAGCAUCAUUGGUGCUGUUACACAAUGCAAGAAGAGAAAGCUUCAGUUUCUCAAGGACAAUGUUAAGUCGGUUCAUCAGCCAGCUUGACAUCCCAAACUCACCAUCACCCAGCAAGACUCAAGCUCUGAGCUGCACUGCAGACGAGCCAGGGGUGAGGUGCCCUAAUCUGGACUCUUCAGGCAUGGCUCCGCGCUGCAGGUUGAAUCCAGACCCUUAGCCAGCAGUCGAAGAAGGCUUUCACAUCAAGAGUUCCAAGCCCUUGUAAAGAGGUGACACUCAGCUCCUGAAGGAGGAUGACCCCUGGGCUUGUGCGAGGUUUGGCUGGAGUGAGCCAUUCUCAAAUGCUCAGCUGUCCUCACCUCUCUAUCUCCUUGUCUGACCCCUGUGAUUCAAGCUCGCUGACCCCCUGCCACACACACAUUCUUGCCCCAUGAUGUCUUAUCUUACACUCUUAGAACUGUCAUGCUGACAUGCCACCUCAAAGUUGUUGAAAAUGGACCACCUUGUUCCCCACUCUGCUUCUCACUGCCAUCAGCAAA
rnacentral:lncRNA from 1 species